rnacentral:rRNA from 1 species
CCUACGGGGGGCUGCAGUGGGGAAUAUUGGACAAUGGGGGGAACCCUGAUCCAGCCAUGCCGCGUGUGUGAAGAAGGCCCUCGGGUUGUAAAGCACUUUCAGUGAGGAAGAACGCCUGGUGGUUAAUACCCAUCAGGAAAGACAUCACUCACAGAAGAAGCACCGGCUAACUCCGUGCCAGCAGCCGCGGUAAUACGGAGGGUGCGAGCGUUAAUCGGAAUUACUGGGCGUAAAGCGCGCGUAGGUGGCUUGAUAAGCCGGUUGUGAAAGCCCCGGGCUCAACCUGGGAACGGCAUCCGGAACUGUCAAGGUAGAGUGCAGGAGAGGAAGGUAGAAUUCCCGGUGUAGCGGUGAAAUGCGUAGAGAUCGGGAGGAAUACCAGUGGCGAAGGCGGCCUUCUGGACUGACACUGACACUGAGGUGCGAAAGCGUGGGUAGCAAACAGGAUUAGAUACCCGAGUAGUC